UCCCUUUCAGGGUUGCACCUGCAGAGUUUCCAGUACUCUACUAGUCUCGACUACAGGAGGGAGAGUCAAGCAGAGGCCUACCCAUUCCAUUCCUAGGUGGGUCAGUGGCUAGCGAGUGGAAGGCAAUCUGCUAUAAGU